UUAGGAAUAUUCGUCAAUGGGGGAAACCCUGAACGAGCAAUGCCGCGUGAACGAUGAAGGCCCUAUGGGUUGUAAAGUUCUGUUGUAUGGGACGAACGGCUAGGAUAGGAAAUGAUCUUAGUGUGACGGUACCAUGCCAGAAAGCUCCGGCUAACUACGUGCCAGCAGCCGCGGUAAUACGUAGGGAGCAAGCGUUAUCCGGAUUUAUUGGGCGUAAAGGGUGCGUAGGCGGUUUGUUAAGUAUGAGAUUAAAGCCCAAGGCUUAACCUCGGUUCGUUUCAUAAACUGGCAGACUUGAGUGUGGCAGAGGCAAACGGAAUUUCUAGUGUAGCGGUUAAAUGCGUAGAUAUUAGAAGGAACACCAGUGGCGAAGGCGGUUUGCUGGGCCAUAACUGACGCUGAGGCACGAAAGCGUGGGGAGCAAAUAGG
rnacentral:rRNA from 1 species